ACAUAACUGAUGCCUCCGCGUAUCGACUUUGUGCGCAUUUUAGCUAUUAUGUGUUCUUUUAAUUAAAAUGAUUCUUUUUAAGAUUCAUCUAUUAAAAAUUUGCCUCGGCAUAAUUUUUUUUGAUGAUCUUGUUACUUUGAGUAAAUUAGAGUGUUCAAAGCAAACAGAUAUAGCAUUUGUGCGUUUGAAUACUACAGCAUGGAAUAACAAAAUUGAACAAGUCAGAAUUUUUUUGUUCUUUUUUCUUAUUUUGGCUUAGUUACGAUUAAUAGGAGUAGCUUGGGGGCAUUUGUAUUCAGAUGUCAGAGGUGAAAUUCUUAGAUUUUCUGGAGACAAACAACUGCGAAAGCAUUUGCCUAAAAUACUUCCAUUAAUCAAGAACGAAAGUUAAGGGAGUGAAGACGAUCAGAUACCGUCGUAAUCUUAACCAUAAACUAUGCCGACUAGGCUUUGGAUGAAAGAUUUUAAAAUAAGAGUUUUUCUUUUCUCUCCGGAGAUUAGAACUCUUAGAUUGCUUCCUUCAGUGCCUUAUGAGAAAUCAAAGUCUUUGGGUUCUGGGGCGAGUAUUCGCGCAAGCGAGAAAGUUAAAAGAAUUGACGGAAGGGCACCACCAGGCGUGGAGCUUGCGGCUUAAUUUGACUCAACACGGGAAAACUCACUAGUUUAAGACAAGAGUAGGAUUGACAGAUUAAUAGCUCUUUCUUGAUUUCUUGGAUGGUGAUGCAUGGCCGUUUUUAGUUCGUGAAUAUGAUUUGUCUGGUUAAUUCCGAUAACGAACGAGAUCUUAACCUGCUAAUUAGCGGCAAAUACGAUAUAUUCUUAUGUAGAAUUGAAUAUAGUGGAUUUGUUAGAUUUUGAAGAAAAUAUAGGAAUUACGUUAAAUGUGAUUCCUUUCCCUUUUCUACUUAAUUUACAUUUCCAUCUAUUUCUUUUUUGCGUAUGAAUGUAUUUGCUUGAUUGUAAAGCUUCUUAGAGGAACGAUGUGUG
rnacentral:rRNA from 1 species